AGAGUUUGAUCAUGGCUCAGGAUGAACGCUGGCGGCGUGCCUAAUACAUGCAAGUGAAACGGGUAUCUUCGGAUACCAGUCGCGGACGGGUGAGUAAUACAUAGGCAACCUGCCUUAUGAGGGGGAUAACCGAGGGAAACUUUGGCUAAUACCGCAUGAAGACUCUAAGGCAUCUUAGAGGGAUAAAAGUUGGGAAACAACGCAUGAAGAUGGGCUUAUGGCGCAUUAGCUAGUUGGUGAGAUAGAAGCCCACCAAGGUAAUGAUGCGUAGCCGACCUGAGAGGGUGAACGGCCACAUUGGGACUGAGACACGGCCCAAACUCCUACGGGAGGCAGCAGUAGGGAAUUUUCGGCAAUGGGGGGAACCCUGACCGAGCAACGCCGCGUGAAGGAAAGAAGGUUUUCGGAUUGUAAACUUCUGUUAUAAGGGAAGAACGGAUUGGAUAGGGAAUGAUCUGAUAGUGACGGUACCUUAUUAGAAAGCCACGGCUAACUACGUGCCAGCAGCUGC
rnacentral:rRNA from 1 species